rnacentral:rRNA from 1 species
AGCGAACGCUGGCGGCAGGCCUAAUACAUGCAAGUCGAACGGACCCUUCGGGGUUAGUGGCGGACGGGUGAGUAACACGUGGGAACGUGCCCUUUGGUUCGGAAUAACUCAGGGGAAACUUGAAUUAAUACCGAAUGUGCCCUUCGGGGAAGGAUUAUCGCCAUUGGAGCGGCCCGCGUCUGAUUAGCUAGUUGGUGGGGUAAAGGCCCACCAAGGCUACGAUCAGUAGCUGGUCUGAGAGGAUGANCAGCCACACUGGGGACUGAGACACGGCCCAGACUCCUACGGGAGGGCAGCAGUAGGGAAUCUUGCGCAAUGGGCGAAAGCCUGACGCAGCCAUGCCGCGUGAA